rnacentral:rRNA from 1 species
CCUACGGGAGGCAGCAGUAAGGAAUAUUGGACAAUGGAGGCAACUCUGAUCCAGCCAUGCCGCGUGAAGGAAUAAGGCCCUAUGGGUUGUAAACUUCUUUUAGACGGGACAAAACCCCUUUACGUGUAAAGGGUUGAUGGUACUGUCAGAAUAAGCAUCGGCUAACUUCGUGCCAGCAGCCGCGGUAAU